GACGUAGGGCGCGAGCGUUGUCCGGAUUUAUUGGGCGUAAAGCGCACGUAGGCGGACAUUUAAGUCAGGGGUGAAAUCCCAGAGCUCAACUCUGGAACUGCCUUUGAUACUGGGUGUCUUGAGUAUGGAAGAGGUGAGUGGAAUUCCGAGUGUAGAGGUGAAAUUCGUAGAUAUUCGGAGGAACACCAGUGGCGAAGGCGGCUCACUGGUCCAUUACUGACGCUGAGGUGCGAAAGCGUGGGGAGCAAACAGG
rnacentral:rRNA from 1 species